rnacentral:lncRNA from 1 species
CUAUAAUACUAUACCUUACGUAACAUCAUCACCUUCAUUGUCAUCAAAAGUAAAGUAUAUUUCUAUUUUCUAAAAGAGUUUUCAAAAGGAGAUUUAUAAAAGCUAGAGUACACUCGUAACAUUGAAUAGAGUUUGUAACAACUCCCCGUAGCCUCCAAUCCAGGAGACAGGCGUGAAUCACGAUUUAAUUUAGCACUGCGCAGGCUUGUAUCACUGUACCCAUAGCUAGUCUUAACACGUUUGACUGUCGCACUUCACUAGAUGCGGCACCACGCUAAGAGUACAAAACUUUUUCCCUACUUCAAUUUACUAUACUCCACGUUUGUGUUGAGCCUAUCAGCUCUCCACACCACCGCGCUACUAUAUGAGGCCUGGAAUGCACUUCAUCGGCAUUCCUGGGGUUUAUAUCAUCUCCCAUCCUACUACUACGUACCCAUGUGGAGUAUAAUAAACUUGAUAAGGUACUAGGUCCAGCCCGUCUUAAGACGGAUAUAUGGUCGACACGGUAUAUACGGUUCUUUGAUACGAGUGAGGGGAUGAUUAGUCCUUAUAUUUAUACACCGUAUGUAGGGAGAGCCCUGUCCUGCCCUCAUCAUCAAUCAUCUCAUCCCUGAGCUCCCCAUACCCACCAUACUAGUAUCCCAAUGAUCUCCAUCAUCAUCAGUUUGUCAAUCAUAUCAUCAUAGUUAAUCUCAUUAUUCUAGAAAAUAUAUUUGGAUGCAAUACUAGGAGAAAUAUUUUUAUGAAAUAGAUUUUUAAGUUGAAAUAGAAUUAUCAUCUAUCAACAUGAUCAAAGGAGAGACUUGCCUGAGUUUCUGUAGUUGAAUCGAAAUUAUGUAGCACUGCCGAUUGACCCAAUUAUCAUUCUACUCAUUCCUGCAUUAUAUUAUAUAUAUACGUUGAGGUUUUGAUAAAUUUAAAUACUAGGGAUACAAAUGAUCUACCAAUAAAAUGUGCUCUGUAGAGUUUAUUUUAAUGUGCAAACUUUCUUCCAGAUAAUGUGUAGUAAUAGGUAAUGCGUAGGUUCAAUUUAAUAUCUUGUGUAGCCUAGUAGUGUACAUCCAGCAAUUAAUCCCCUUUCCUUCUCUAAUCUCUCCUUCCUCGAACAGAUAAGGCAGCAGCAGCAGUAAUUCCUCUUCUUCUUCUUCCUUGCUGCUGUUCCUAAGGCACUUCUCCCUUUCCCAGCUAAAUCAUCCAAGCCAUGGCUACCGAUCUACCAUUGCUAGUGUGGAUCAGCUCUGCUGCGGCUACUGCUGUGGCGGUGGUGGUUGCUGCAGCUACGGCUGCGGCUGUGGGUGCUCUCUCUCUCUCCCUCCCUCUCUCUCUCCCCUUCUCUCAUCUCUCUGGCUGUAGCACUUGUGCAGUGAUGGGUGCAAUUUAGUGAUGGCUCUAAUGGUGAUUUGCAGGUGUAGGGGGAACAGAUGCUUGGUUGCUAGGUGCUAAAAAAAAAGGAAAGCCAAGUAUUGAGGGAUUCACCUUUGCCUAGGUGACAAGUUCGUCCAUGGCUGUGCUCCCGUGUUCAUCCUCGCCGAUGCAUUGGCCUUUCCUCUUCCUUGGGUAAAUCACAUUCCCUCCUUGCUGAUUUCUCUUCUCCUCUUCCUAGCCGACAUAGUGAUGGUAUGAGUAUUUGGCCAAGAACUAUUUGGCUACUAAUUAUAGGGGAUUCAAGAUUUGGUGCUUGCAAUGGAUGGGGCGCAAUCUUGCAUUUCACUGAUUUGUUUGCUCCUCACUCCCUACUUCUCUCCUCCUCCUCUCCUGGGCUGCUCACUCCUCACUAAUUGGUUGGAGCUCAUAUGCAUGCAUCUGCUGCCAUGGCUGUGGUCAUGCUUUGAGUGCUUGACCAAGGUGAGAUAGAGUCUUGACCAAAGUGGAUGGAGUUGUGCUACUAUCUUUGUGGUCUUGUGUGAAGCUUCCUAUGUGGAGCUAUGUGAUUGGUGGAUAAUUAAUACUGCUGGUGAAUUGAGGUCCCUUUGGUGAGAUUAAUUCUUUAUAUGAGAUGUGCGGCUUCUUUGUGUUAAUUAGCCGGAUGACGAACCCGACUUAAGUGAGGGGUGCCAGACGGUAUUAGCUGAUCUAGGUGAUCUAGGUAUCUCAGUGAACGGUUGAAUAUACACCACUUUGUGUAUGGGUCUGACGGCAACAUUUAUUUACAUAUUACCUUUUGUGCAUAAAAGGGGUCAAGCUAUGUAUGUCCUGUGCAACCGUAUAUUCAAAUAUAUGAUGUAUUGUAUUAUUAGUGUAAGUUUAUGUAUACAUGAUGACUGUUUAUAGUGAUGUUUGUUCGUAUAAUAUUUCCAUGUUAUUAUUAUUAGUAUAUUGUGGUGGUAUAUUGGACAUUAUUUAUUUGUUUUACUUCAACGGAUGCGAAUGUUAUAAAUUUUGAGUGGCUUAUUCUUGUUUCCAACAAUUUUGCUAGUUAACUGAUUAAUUAAUGAUAUAUGUCA